rnacentral:rRNA from 1 species
GAUGAACGCUGGCGGCGUGCCUAAUACAUGCAAGUCGAACGCUGAAGGAGGAGCUUGCUCUUCUGGAUGAGUUGCGAACGGGUGAGUAACGCGUAGGUAACCUGCCUGGUAGCGGGGGAUAACUAUUGGAAACGAUAGCUAAUACCGCAUGACAACAGCUAUUGCAUGAUAACUGUUUAAAAGGGGCAACUGCUCCACUACCAGAUGGAACUGCGUUGUUUUUGCUUGUUGGUGAGGUAAAGGCUCACCAAGGCGAGGAUACAUAGCCGACCUGAGAGGGUGAUCGGCCACACUGGGACUGAGACACGGCCCAGACUCCUACGGGAGGCAGCAGUAGGGAAUCUUCGGCAAUGGACGGAAGUCUGACCGAGCAACGCCGCGUGAGUGAAGAAGGUUUUCGGAUCGUAAAGCUCUGUUGUAAGAGAAGAACGAGUGUGAGAGUGGAAAGUUCACACUGUGACGGUAUCUUACCAGAAAGGGACGGCUAACUACGUG